AAGACUAUGCUUCACAGGAUCCUUCCUGUAGGCAAGUUUUCACAAGUUUUUACCGAAAGAAAAAGCUUUCCCACCCACGAUGAUGAGACAAUAAAAAAACGUUGA
rnacentral:snoRNA from 2 species